rnacentral:rRNA from 1 species
GCAACUCGCCUACAUGAAGUUGGAAUCGCUAGUAAUCGCGAAUCAGAAUGUCGCGGUGAAUACGUUCCCGGGUCUUGUACACACCGCCCGUCACACACGAGAGUUUACAACACCCGAAGUCAGUGGCCUAACCGCAAGGAGGGAGCUGCCUAAGGUGGGGUAGAUGAUUGGGGUGAAGUCGUAACAAGGUACC